UCCAUUUUCUCCCCACGUACAUAUUCCCUACCAACCAUCUCCACUUUCUCUCUUUAACCUCUCCCAUAUCCUCUCUCCGUUUUUCUUAUCAACCUUCUGAGAUCUAACAUGUAAACAAAAAAAGAAAAUUGUUGCUGCGUUUAAUCUUUUGAGAAGGAAACAAGCUCUCGAGGUUACUCAUGAUCUUUAUUGGGCUUGCGCUCUAAAUUUUUCCUUUGAUUACAACUUUUAUAAGGUUUGAGAUUAGUGAAAAACUACUUAAUCUUCACAGUGAUUUUAAAAUAUUAAGGAGUCAUUCAAUUGAGAUCAGAUCUAUAAUAGGGGUUGUGAUCACAUAAUUAUUUUUCCUUUGUUUCUCUAGACUGAUAAUGGGCUAACCAUCGGUUUUUUCUGCCUCCGUUUUCACUUCUUAAACUGAUUCUAAUCUGAUAGACUCUUUAAGAGCCCGGGGGAAAUAAUCAACUUUGGAAUGUUUUCGGGACAAGGAGCAGAGAAAAAGAUUAGAAGGAGUUGAUUUUUCAGAAAUAGAGAAUUAGAUCGAAGAAGUUUAGUUUCUAUUCUCUUUAUUUUUCCUGAAAAUUGUCAUGUGGUCUCAUCCUAUGAUGUAACAUGUAUUUAUUUUAUUUUUUGAUCAAAGAUAUACAAUGUAUAUGUAUUAAUCUUGUAUAUGAAAUAAAAUAAAUCUACAAAUUGAGAAUUC